GGUUAAGCGACUAAGCGUACACGGUGGAUGCCCUGGCAGUCAGAGGCGAUGAAGGACGUGCUAAUCUGCGAUAAGCGUCGGUAAGGUGAUAUGAACCGUUAUAACCGGCGAUUUCCGAAUGGGGAAACCCAGUGUGUUUCGACACACUAUCAUUAACUGAAUCCAUAGGUUAAUGAGGCGAACCGGGGGAACUGAAACAUCUAAGUACCCCGAGGAAAAGAAAUCAACCGAGAUUCCCCCAGUAGCGGCGAGCGAACGGGGAGCAGCCCAGAGCCUGAAUCAGUGUGUGUGUUAGUGGAAGCGUCUGGAAAGGCGCGCGAUACAGGGUGACAGCCCCGUACACAAAAAUGCACAUACUGUGAGCUCGAUGAGUAGGGCGGGACACGUGGUAUCCUGUCUGAAUAUGGGGGGACCAUCCUCCAAGGCUAAAUACUCCUGACUGACCGAUAGUGAACCAGUACCGUGAGGGAAAGGCGAAAAGAACCCCGGCGAGGGGAGUGAAAAAGAACCUGAAACCGUGUACGUACAAGCAGUGGGAGCACGCUUAGGCGUGUGACUGCGUACCUUUUGUAUAAUGGGUCAGCGACUUAUAUUCUGUAGCAAGGUUAACCGAAUAGGGGAGCCGAAGGGAAACCGAGUCUUAACUGGGCGUUAAGUUGCAGGGUAUAGACCCGAAACCCGGUGAUCUAGCCAUGGGCAGGUUGAAGGUUGGGUAACACUAACUGGAGGACCGAACCGACUAAUGUUGAAAAAUUAGCGGAUGACUUGUGGCUGGGGGUGAAAGGCCAAUCAAACCGGGAGAUAGCUGGUUCUCCCCGAAAGCUAUUUAGGUAGCGCCUCGUGAAUUCAUCUCCGGGGGUAGAGCACUGUUUCGGCAAGGGGGUCAUCCCGACUUACCAACCCGAUGCAAACUGCGAAUACCGGAGAAUGUUAUCACGGGAGACACACGGCGGGUGCUAACGUCCGUCGUGAAGAGGGAAACAACCCAGACCGCCAGCUAAGGUCCCAAAGUCAUGGUUAAGUGGGAAACGAUGUGGGAAGGCCCAGACAGCCAGGAUGUUGGCUUAGAAGCAGCCAUCAUUUAAAGAAAGCGUAAUAGCUCACUGGUCGAGUCGGCCUGCGCGGAAGAUGUAACGGGGCUAAACCAUGCACCGAAGCUGCGGCAGCGACGCUUAUGCGUUGUUGGGUAGGGGAGCGUUCUGUAAGCCUGCGAAGGUGUACUGUGAGGUAUGCUGGAGGUAUCAGAAGUGCGAAUGCUGACAUAAGUAACGAUAAAGCGGGUGAAAAGCCCGCUCGCCGGAAGACCAAGGGUUCCUGUCCAACGUUAAUCGGGGCAGGGUGAGUCGACCCCUAAGGCGAGGCCGAAAGGCGUAGUCGAUGGGAAACAGGUUAAUAUUCCUGUACUUGGUGUUACUGCGAAGGGGGGACGGAGAAGGCUAUGUUGGCCGGGCGACGGUUGUCCCGGUUUAAGCGUGUAGGCUGGUUUUCCAGGCAAAUCCGGAAAAUCAAGGCUGAGGCGUGAUGACGAGGCACUACGGUGCUGAAGCAACAAAUGCCCUGCUUCCAGGAAAAGCCUCUAAGCAUCAGGUAACAUCAAAUCGUACCCCAAACCGACACAGGUGGUCAGGUAGAGAAUACCAAGGCGCUUGAGAGAACUCGGGUGAAGGAACUAGGCAAAAUGGUGCCGUAACUUCGGGAGAAGGCACGCUGAUAUGUAGGUGAAGUCCCUCGCGGAUGGAGCUGAAAUCAGUCGAAGAUACCAGCUGGCUGCAACUGUUUAUUAAAAACACAGCACUGUGCAAACACGAAAGUGGACGUAUACGGUGUGACGCCUGCCCGGUGCCGGAAGGUUAAUUGAUGGGGUUAGCGCAAGCGAAGCUCUUGAUCGAAGCCCCGGUAAACGGCGGCCGUAACUAUAACGGUCCUAAGGUAGCGAAAUUCCUUGUCGGGUAAGUUCCGACCUGCACGAAUGGCGUAAUGAUGGCCAGGCUGUCUCCACCCGAGACUCAGUGAAAUUGAACUCGCUGUGAAGAUGCAGUGUACCCGCGGCAAGACGGAAAGACCCCGUGAACCUUUACUAUAGCUUGACACUGAACAUUGAGCCUUGAUGUGUAGGAUAGGUGGGAGGCUUUGAAGUGUGGACGCCAGUCUGCAUGGAGCCGACCUUGAAAUACCACCCUUUAAUGUUUGAUGUUCUAACGUUGACCCGUGAUCCGGGUUGCGGACAGUGUCUGGUGGGUAGUUUGACUGGGGCGGUCUCCUCCUAAAGAGUAACGGAGGAGCACGAAGGUUGGCUAAUCCUGGUCGGACAUCAGGAGGUUAGUGCAAUGGCAUAAGCCAGCUUGACUGCGAGCGUGACGGCGCGAGCAGGUGCGAAAGCAGGUCAUAGUGAUCCGGUGGUUCUGAAUGGAAGGGCCAUCGCUCAACGGAUAAAAGGUACUCCGGGGAUAACAGGCUGAUACCGCCCAAGAGUUCAUAUCGACGGCGGUGUUUGGCACCUCGAUGUCGGCUCAUCACAUCCUGGGGCUGAAGUAGGUCCCAAGGGUAUGGCUGUUCGCCAUUUAAAGUGGUACGCGAGCUGGGUUUAGAACGUCGUGAGACAGUUCGGUCCCUAUCUGCCGUGGGCGCUGGAGAACUGAGGGGGGCUGCUCCUAGUACGAGAGGACCGGAGUGGACGCAUCACUGGUGUUCGGGUUGUCAUGCCAAUGGCACUGCCCGGUAGCUAAAUGCGGAAGAGAUAAGUGCUGAAAGCAUCUAAGCACGAAACUUGCCCCGAGAUGAGUUCUCCCUGACUCCUUGAGAGUCCUGAAGGAACGUUGAAGACGACGACGUUGAUAGGCCGGGUGUGUAAGCGCAGCGAUGCGUUGAGCUAACCGGUACUAAUGAACCGUGAGGCUUAACCUU
rnacentral:rRNA from 1 species